UAACCGAACAUGUGAAUGUUCGCUGAAUUAUCAGAAGUCAGCAGAAGCCAUAGUACCAGCUGUAUCUAGAACAAUUGGGAAGGGC
rnacentral:ncRNA from 1 species